rnacentral:rRNA from 1 species
UACGUAGGGGGCUAGCGUUGUCCGGAAUCAUUGGGCGUAAAGAGCGUGUAGGCGGCUCGGUAAGUCCGCUGUAAAAGUCAAAGGCUCAACCUUUGAAUGUCAGUGGAUACUGCCGGGCUAGAGUCCGGAAGAGGCGAGUGGAACUCCUGGUGUAGCGGUGGAAUGCGCAGAUAUCAGGAAGAACACCAACGGCGAAGGCAGCUCGCUGGGACGUGACUGACGCUGAGACGCGAAAGCGUGGGGAGCAAACAGG